rnacentral:rRNA from 1 species
CCUUUAGUGGCGCAGCUAACGCGAUAAGUAGACCGCCUGGGGAGUACGGUCGCAAGAUUAAAACUCAAAUGAAUUGACGGGGGCCCGCACAAGCGGUGGAGCAUGUGGUUUAAUUCGAAGCAACGCGAAGAACCUUACCUACUCUUGACAUCCAGUGAACUUUUGAGAGAUCAAUUGGUGCCUUCGGGAACACUGAGACAGGUGCUGCAUGGCUGUCGUCAGCUCGUGUUGUGAAAUGUUGGGUUAAGUCCCGUAACGAGCGCAACCCUUGUCCUUAGUUACCAUCAUUAAGUUGGGGACUCUAAGGAGACUGCCGGUGACAAACCGGAGGAAGGCGGGGACGACGUCAAGUCAUCAUGGCCCUUACGAGUAGGGCUACACACGUGCUACAAUGGCAUGUACAAAGGGUUGCCAAGCCGCGAGGUGGAGCUAAUCCCAUAAAGCAUGUCGU